GCUAUACGUAAGCGUAUUUGUCCACAAAAAAGAUGUCGCUCAGCUUUUGUCUCUAACCGUCCUCCAUUUUUGAUAAAGACUUCAAAGUCAGAAAUUGCUACUCCAUUUCAGUGCAAUAUCUUCAUCGUUCUCCCACCAUUACGAGUAAGGGUCCUAAAGCUCCAGUUCACUCUCUGAAUUCCAUUCCAUUCUUAUUUAACCACUGCCAAGAGUUUUGGACUAUUCCAACAACUUCGACUUUUUCAAACUUCUCAUGCUAUUUUGAUAGAUAAAAUCAGAAUUGCCAAAGUUUGCUCCACCUUUUUGGUGAAUAUUUCUGUAAUCGUAGUUGUCCUUAGCAGGAGGGCUCAAAAUUUUUGUUUGAAUUUCCAAACCCUAACAAUUCAAAAUCCCGCCCAAAGUCCAGCUCUGGGAGCCCUAAUUCUUCUCUAUAAAUACCAGCACUUGGGAAUAAAUGAGAACAAGGUUUUUGGCCGCCUUUCCGCUCUAAACUUCUAAAAAUACCCUGUUCAAUAACAAUUAUUUUGCAAAAUACUAGCUCUUAAAAUCACCCUUUUUUUCCUUCUCAUAUCUCUGUCCACUUUCAGCCGUGGAGGAGACUUAUUUGGCUUUAAUCAUGCCAUUUUAUUUGUGAGGGAGGUCGGAGUCCGUCGGAUCUGAGAGCCCCCACCCCAGUUCACUGCACCCGCAAAAGAGCCGACGAGUCUCACUUGAGACUCAACGACGCUGCACGGAGACGACAUGACAUCAUUCCUCCUUGUUUCAUUUGAAUAAUGAAGUUGGCAGUUUACCAUCCCCGCAAAAUUGGAUGUUAAACAUGCUUUUCAUCUUAUGUCCUUUUAUUUUGUUCUUCCUUCCUGGUUGCUAACGUUACUUAUGUGUUUGUGUGACAUAAAUUUAAAUCGUUAUGGGAUUAAUAGUUAGACUAUUUAAUUUAUUUAGAA